GAUGAACGCUAGCGACAGGCCUAACACAUGCAAGUCGAGGGGCAGCACAAGGGUAGCAAUAUUCUGGUGGCGACCGGCGCACGGGUGAGUAACACGUAUGCAACCUACCUGUAAGAGGGGAAUAACCCGGAGAAAUUCGGACUAACACCGCAUAAUACCGUUUAACUGCAUGGUUGAACGGUUAAAUAUUUAUAGCUUACAGAUGGGCAUGCGUAUGAUUAGCUAGUUGGUGAGGUAACGGCUCACCAAGGCAACGAUCAUUAGGGGUUCUGAGAGGAAGGUCCCCCACACUGGUACUGAGAUACGGACCAGACUCCUACGGGAGGCAGCAGUGAGGAAUAUUGCACAAUGGGCGAAA
rnacentral:rRNA from 1 species